rnacentral:lncRNA from 1 species
AUGACCGACCGUCUCACAGACUACCUCAACUUCUGUGUAGAUGUGGUUGUCCCCACCAAGACUGUACAGUGUUAUCCUAACAAUAAGCCAUGGGUAACACAGGAAGUCAAGGAUGUCCUCAAUAAGAAGAAAAAGGCCUUCAGAAAUAAAGACAGGGAGGAGAUGAAAGAAGCGCAGAGGGAGGUGAAACGCUGCCUGAAGGAGGCAAAGAACACCUACAGGAAGAAGGUGGAGAAGAAGCUGGCUGAUAACAACAUGCGGGACGUCUGGGAAGGUGUCAGGACCAUCACUGGUCACAAAGCCAAGACCAGCACGGAAGGGGGAGGAGUGGAGAGGGCAAACGACCUGAACCAAUUCUUCAACAGGUUCAGUCAGCCCACUCCACCCCAAUCCUCUGCCCCCCACCUCACCAGCCCAGCUCCCCUCCACCCCUCCCCAGCAGCCAAGCCCCCCUCUACCCCCCCUCCCUCCAACCCGCCACCCACCACAACUUCCCCCAACCCCUCCUCCCCUCCUCCCUCCUCCACCUCCCCUCCCUCUGCUGACCUCCCUCCUCCCACCCUUCCACCCUCUACCACCCCCAUCCCCCUGCUCUCACCAUCCCCACAUCCUCCCUGCUUCACGGCUGACCAGGUGAGGGGAGAACUGAGGAAGCUCCGGCCCCGAAAAGCAGCUGGACCGGAUAGAGUCUGCCCCCGGCUCCUCAAGACCUGCGCUGCUGAACUCGGGGAGCCGCUACAACGGGUCUUCAACCUCAGCCUGGAGCUGGGGAAAGUGCCCACCUUGUGGAAGACGUCCUGCAUCAUUCCUGUCCCCAAGAAGAACAGACCGAGUGAGCUGAACGACUUCCGGCCGGUGGCACUCACCUCACACCUGAUGAAGACUCUGGAGCGGCUCUUCCUCAACCUCCUCAGGCCCCAGGUGCAGCACGCUGAGGACUCCUUACAGUUCGCCUACCGGGACAAGGUCGGUGUAGAGGACGCCAUCAUCUACCUGCUGCACCGAGUCCACUCGCAUCUGGACAAGGGGAGUGGCACAGCGAGAAUCUUCUUUUUGGAUUUCUCGAGUGCCUUCAACACGAUCCAGCCCCUUGUCCUACAGGACAAGCUUCUACAGAUGCGAGUGGACCCCUGCCUGGUUGCUUGGAUCUCCAGCUACCUCACCGACAGGCCGCAGUUCGUCAGGAUGAAGGACACCACGUCUGACACUGUGGUCAGCAGCAUCGGGGCUCCACAGGGGACUGUGCUGUCCCCCAUCCUCUUCACUCUGUACACCUCGGACUUCUGUUACAACUCUGAAAUGUGUCACAUUCAGAAGUUCGCUGAUGACACAGCCAUCGUUGGAUGUAUCAGAGACGACCAAGAGGAGGAGUACCGG